rnacentral:rRNA from 1 species
UACGUAGGGUGCGAGCGUUGUCCGGAAUCACUGGGCGUAAAGGGUGCGUAGGCGGGUUUUUAAGUCAGGGGUGAAAUCCUGGAGCUCAACUCCAGAACUGCCUUUGAUACUGAAGAUCUUGAGUCCGGGAGAGGUGAGUGGAACUGCGAGUGUAGAGGUGAAAUUCGUAGAUAUUCGCAAGAACACCAGUGGCGAAGGCGGCUCACUGGCCCGGUACUGACGCUGAGGCACGAAAGCGUGGGGAGCAAACAGG